rnacentral:lncRNA from 1 species
AACAAUUAGCAUGCAAUUUUAUGAUAAAUGUGAUGUUGAUUUUAUGAUUGUGCUACUGUUUUGGUAUGAUUUGUGUGUUUCUUGUAUCUCAAGCAACUUUUCUUCUCAAUAUGUCUUGGUUAUUUUCAUCAUUUCUUUACCAUUUCAUUUCAUAUUCAAUUGAUUACUUUCUCUAUCACUCAUGUUAUAUUUUUCAUCUUGUUUUGCUAACAUUGUUGACUCAUGUUUCACUCAUCUCAUAGCAUCUCACCACAUCAUUCUCAUUUCUACUAGAUUAGGUUUUAUUUCUUGCAAUUUUCCUUUUUUGUAUUUCCAAUGGUUAUGUAAUAUUUUAGGCUAGUUUAAAUUCACCUUUUAAAUCCUUGCAAGACCAUAGCAUGUAUUUAGGACUCGAUGUAAAGGACUAUGGACACUAUAACUGAUGUACACCGACACGAGCACCGACGCAUGCACACACCCCACAUGGAUAUUCUAGAUGCAUGAUUAGGGAAUGUAUGUUUAGAUGUAUGCUUAGGUUUUACAACGCUUAGACAAAAAUCAUUUUCCCAAAAAAAAAUGUGAAUAACCUCACUUGAAAACCUUUUUUUCCUAAAAUAGGAGUCAAAACUCCUCAUUUUCCUUUUAUUUUCUUAAGUAAGAAAUCUUAAUGAAUUUUAAUCAUACUUAGACUUUAUUUUGCAAAAAUAGCUAAUUCCACCUCACAUUUUCCAAAUCUCAUGCCCUUGAGGCCUCUCAUCUCCAUUCUUCAAAAUUCCUUUUUCAAACUUAAAAUCAACCAACAAAAACAAAAACAAUUUUCGAGAACGAACUACGUUUGGUUUUGAUCCCUUAAAAGGGUACGUAGGCAAUGAGUUAAAACUCCUCCAAGCCAAGUAAAAUAAAAUCUCAAUCAUCUUCUCUCCCCCAUUCUUCACUCAAAUAAAACUUCUUUUUCAAUAAGUAGGCAAUAAAAAUAAAGCAUAGGAAUAAACUUAGGAGAACGGUUCUUAUGGAAUACCAUAAUCGUUCCGGGUGCCUAACACCUUCCCGUAGCGAAAACGACCCCCGAACUUAGACUCUAAGGGUUUUUCUCAAUUUUGCCCUUCCCAAGAAAAAAUAGAGAAUAUCAAAGAUUGAAAGGUUCAAGCCUU